rnacentral:lncRNA from 1 species
AACAGAUGUAACCUGUGCAGGGGCUGCCAAGGGCCCCGGCAUACAAGACUUUCCAGCAGAGUAGACAGAACCUUCAGUGACUCUUGACCUUGAGGUCUUUCUUCAUUUUGGGAACUCCAUUGGUCAGUUCCCCUUCUUGGGAAACCUCCGUGAUAGCCAUGUUGACACCUUUGAGGCCUCCCCCUGCCCCAUGUUGUUACUGCAGAUUAGCUUGGUUGCAUUAACACUGCUCAGAAUGUACAGUAGCUGCCAACCUUUAGGCUGAAGGAACCAGCUCAAGGCUUUGCCCCCCCCCCUCCCGUUGGGUUCUGCGAUGGGUCGCUUAGAUGACCAGGCCAAGAAGCGGAUUGUGGAGUUGCGCAAAGCCGGUUUGAGUUUCCGCAAGAUCAAAAAGGUGCUGGAGGUGGACAAUAUCCGCGUCACGCCGCAAGCUAUCUACCUGUUCUUGAAGCGCAAGAAUGUCCAGCCCAGCGCCCCCUCGUCCGGUUCCGAUCCUCCGCCAGGCCUCAAGAAAGGAAGCAGAGAUGCUGUCUUAGAUCAGGUCAGCUGGGAGGAGGAGGAGGAGGAUCAGUGCUGGAAGCUGCCCCCGGAAAAUGAAGCUGGGCACGCCAGGCAAAGAGAGGAUGAUGUCUCCGCGGCAGGAGUCAGCCUGAGCUGUGAGAUGCCACUUUGGCAUGACAGCCGAGGUGAUGAGGAAGGCAUCAGAAUCGUUGGGGUGGCUUCCUUGAACCAAGACGAAGGGCAGUUUGGAAGGCAGAGCGCUACACGUGGAGGCUUCUCCAAGGGAUCGCAACCAGGCUCAAAUACUGUGUUAGGAAGAAAUCGAGAUGAAAAACAUUCUGAAGUCAACAGACAGAAAGCCCUCCUGAUGCUGGGACUCAUUUUGGAGGCAGCUUCCCUUCCUUCUCCCGUUUUCCUUUCCUAG